rnacentral:rRNA from 1 species
UACGAAGGGGGCUAGCGUUGUUCGGAAUUACUGGGCGUAAAGCGUAUGCAGGCGGAUCGUUAAGUCGGGGGUGAAAUCCCGAGGCUCAACCUCGGAACUGCCUUCGAUACUGGCGACCUUCGAGUCCGGGAGAGGUGAGUGGAACUCCGAGUGUAGAGGUGAAAUUCGUAGAUAUUCGGAGGAACACCAGUGGCGAAGGCGGCUCACUGGUCCGGUACUGACGCUGAGGUGCGAAAGCGUGAGGAGCAAACAGG